rnacentral:rRNA from 15 species
AGGUGCGAUCAUACAAGCACAAAAGCACCGGAUCUCAUCAAAACUCCGAAGAUAAGCGUGCUUUGGCGAGAGUAAUACUAGGAUAUGUGACCCCCUAGGAAGUCCUCAUGUUGCACUCC